rnacentral:rRNA from 1 species
CCUACGGGAGGCAGCAGUGAGGAAUAUUGGUCAAUGGCCGAAAGGCUGAACCAGCCAAGUCGCGUGAGGGAAGACUGCCCUACGGGUUGUAAACCUCUUUUGUCGGGGAGCAAAGAGAGUCACGUGUGACUCAUUGAGAGUACCCGAAGAAAAAGCAUCGGCUAACUCCGUGCCAGCAGCCGCGGUAAUACGGAGGAUGCGAGCGUUAUCCGGAUUUAGUGGGUUUAAAGGGUGCGCAGGCGGAAGAUCAAGUCAGCGGUAAAAUUGAGAGGCUCAACCUCUUCGAGCCGUUGAAACUGGUUUUCUUGAGUGAGCGAGAAGUAUGCGGAAUGCGUGGUGUAGCGGUGAAAUGCAUAGAUAUCACGCAGAACUCCGAUUGCGAAGGCAGCGUACCGGCGCCAGACUGACGCUGAGGCACGAAAGCGUGGGGAUCGAACAGGAUUAGAUACCCCAGUAGUC